CCCUUAGAUGUUCUGGGCCGCACGCGCGUUACACUGAUGCAUUCAACGAGCUUAUAACCUUGGCCGAGAGGCCUGGGCAAUCUUGUUAACGUGCAUCGUGAUAGGGAUAGAUUAUUGAAAUUAUUAAUCUUGAACGAGGAAUUCCUAGUAAACGCAGAUCAUCAAUCUGCAUUGAUUACGUCCCUGCCCUUUGUACACACCGCCCGUCGCACCUACCGAUUGGAUGGUCCGGUGAAGCCUCGGGAUUGUGGUUCUUGCCGCUUUAUUGUAGCGUGACCGCGAGAACUUGUCUAAACCUUAUCAUCUAGAGGAAGGUGAAGUCGUAACA
rnacentral:rRNA from 1 species